UUUUUUGAGAGUUUGAUCCUGGCUCAGGAUGAACGCUGGCGGCAUGCCUAAGACAUGCAAGUCGAACGGAGCGAACUUAUGAAAAUGGAGUGCUUGCACAAAGUUGGAAUUUGACCUCGCUUAGUGGCGAAAGGGUGAGUAACACGUGGGAAUCUGCCUUUAAGACUGGGACAACAGUUGGAAACGACUGCUAAUACCGGAUGAUAUAUAAGAUGAUACGUUAUCUUAUAUUAAAAGAAGCCUUUAAAGCUUCACUUAAAGAUGAGCCUGCGGCGUAUUAGCUAGUUGGUAAGGUAAUGGCUUACCAAGGCGACGAUGCGUAG
rnacentral:ncRNA from 1 species